UACGAAGGGGGCUAGCGUUGCUCGGAAUUACUGGGCGUAAAGCGCACGUAGGCGGCUUUCUAAGUCGGGGGUGAAAUCCUGGAGCUCAACUCCAGAACUGCCUUUGAUACUGGUGAUCUUGAGUCCGGGAGAGGUGAGUGGAACUGCGAGUGUAGAGGUGAAAUUCGUAGAUAUUCGCAAGAACACCAGUGGCGAAGGCGGCUCACUGGCCCGGUACUGACGCUGAGGGCG
rnacentral:rRNA from 1 species